UGUCUAAUCAGAAGUGAGUGGGACACACAGCUGAAGUCAGUUUCUCAAGCUGAGCUCAAAGUGUGUUUCUGAAUAACCAGAGUGACACAGAAGAGUCUUUUCCACUUUGUUCCCUUACUAUGUUUCCAUGAUCUCAGGGAUUGAACAUGCAGACAGGAACUUCGAGGCGCCUUGGUGCACAGCUCCCCCUGCUGAAGUCAUCACAUGUGAUCCACAUGGACCCUCAGAGCCAAACAAAGCAGGAGCUGAUUAUUUGUCUUUGCAGCCCAGAAACCCUAAAAAGAGGACUCCAAUCUGCAGACACUGUGGGCCUCAUCCACUCAUCCACUCAUCCAGCGGCUGGGGAAAACUCUGGGAGGUUUUCUGGAGACACCUGCUCUGCUGCUCUCCGGGGGCCCACGCAUGAGGCCUGACUGAAGUGCCAAAAAGCAUCGGCCCGAGUCAGGUUAUUUGAUGUAAUGCCAUCACCAAGAUGUCAGCAGAUCUGAAUGCUGGGGGGGAUGAGAAAGUUUCAACACGAGGCCACAUGUGCAGAGCUCUGGACGGCGGUCACAGCACAUGUGAGAGAGCAGCAGUUGAUGUCAGCCUUAUGUAAUGGGAACAGCACGAAAACUUUAUUGUUUCAUUUUCAUUGUCUCUGAGCAGAAUGCUAUUCACAGCAGAUGUUAGAGCGAUUACAAAAAGAGUGAGUGGAAAAAUCAGAAUAACAUCUAUCCAUUAUCAAAGCCACUCAUCCCACUCAGAGUCACAGGGGGGGUGGAGCCUAUCCCAGCCGUCACUGAGAGACAGACAGAGUGUACCCUGGACUGGUCCCCGAUCAGUCACAAGACUUACAUACAGAGACAAAAACCACUCACACUCACAAAGAUGGGCAACUUAGAGUCUCCAAUUAACCUAAGGGAACAUGCAGAAUCCACAGAGAAGGGCUCCUGCCCAACCAUCAAACCAAGAACCUUCUUGCUGUGAGGAGACACCACCAGUUGCUGCACCACCAGCUGCUGCACCACCAGCUGCUGCACCACCAGCUACUGCACCACCAGCUGCUGCACCACCAGCUACUGCACCACCAGCUGCUGCACCACCAGCUGCUGCACCACCAGCUACUGAAUCACCAGCUACUGCACCACCAGCUGCUGCACCACCAGCUACUGCUCCACCAGCUACUGCACCACCAGCUGCUGCACCACCAGCAACUGCACCACCAGCUGC